GUGACACCUGCCGCAUCACCAGGCUGUGUGAACAAACUCAGCUGCCAGAACUCACAGAAUAUCAGUAUCAGCACCAAAAACUCACAGGAAAAAUGUAGCUCCAUGUUUAGCUCCACAAACUUCAGACUUGAACAGCAUCACUGGCUCCUGACCAGGACUCCAGCUCCAUGAACCUCAAACUAGAACACCAGCCCACCUUCUCCACAUGUGUACGGCUCCAAAACCUAAGACAUCAGUGGCAGUACUUACUCCUCCCGGGGGCUCCAGUUCCAGGACCCUCAGACUUGAACCACAGCACCAACUCUUCCCUGGAUCUCCAGCUCCAUGACCCUCAGACUUAAACAACAGCAGCACCAGCUCAUCCGUGGGUCUCCAGCUCCACGACCCUCAAAUUAGAACUACACCAGCUCCUCCCCAGGUCUCCAGCUCCACAACCCUCAAACUAGAACAACAUCAGCUCCUCCCAGGGUCUCCAACUCCAUGACCCUCAAACUAGAACAACAGUGCUCACCCCUGGAUCUCCAUCUCCACAAACCUCACACUAGAACACCAAUACCGGCUCCUCUACAGCUCUUCAGCUCCACAACCUAAGACAUCAGUGGCAGCAUUGGCUCCUCCCAUAGAUUCCAGCUCUAGGACCCUCAGAUUGAACUGCAAAACCACCUGCUCCCUGGAACUCCAGCUGCACGACACUUAAACUAGAACAACAUCAGCUCCUCCGCGGGUCUCCAGCUGCACGACCCUCAAAUUAGAAUAUCAGCUCCUCCCAGGGUUUCCAGCUGCAUGAACCUCAAACUAGAACAACAUCAGCUCCUCCCCGGUCUCCAGCUGCACAAUACUGAAACUAGAGCAUCAGCUCCUCCCAGGGUCUCCAGCUGCAUGACCCUCAAACUAGAACAUGAACUCCUCCCAGGGUCUCCAUCUACUCGAGCCUCAAACUAGAACAACAUCAGCUCCUCCCUGGGUCUCCAACUCCACGAUCCUCAAACUAGAACAACGCCACUCACCCCUGGAUCUCCAGCUCCACAAACCUCACACUAGAACAGCAACACUGGCUCCUCCAUGGGUGUCCAGCUUUACAACCUAAGACAUUAGUGGCAGCACCAUCUCCUCCUGGGGGCUCAAGCUCCAGGACCCUCAGACUUGAACCGCAGCACCAACUCUUCCCCGGAUCUCCAGCUUGACGACCUUCAGACUUAAACAACAGAAGGAUCAGCUCCUCCCUGGGUUGCCAGCUACAUGACCCUCAACUAGGAUACCAUCAGCUCCUCCCUGGGUCUCCAGCACCAUGACCCACAAACUAAAACACCAACACUGGCUUCUCCACGGGUCUUCAGCUCCACAACCUAAGACAUCAGUGGCAGCAUUGGCUCCUCCCAUAGAUUCCAGCUCCAGGACCCUCAGAUUUGAGGACCCAGUCACUCAAACUAGAACAACACCAGCUCCUCCCCAGGUCUGCAGCUGCACAACCCUCAAACUAGAACAUCAGCUCCUCCCAGGGUCUCCAGCUGCAAGACCCUCAAACUAGAACAUCAGCUCCUCCCAGGGUCUCCAGCUGCACGAACCUCAAACCAGAUCUUCAGCUCCUCCCCAGGUCUCCAGCUACACGACCCUCAAACUAGAACAUUAGCUCCUCCCUGGGUCUCCAGCUCUACAACCAUCAAACUAGAACACCAUCAGCUCCUCUCCGGGUCUCCAGCUCCACGUCUCUCAAAUUAGAACAGCAUCAGCUUCUCCCCGGGUCUCCAGCUACAUGACCCUGAAACUAGAAAAACACCAGCUCCUCUCUGGGUCUCCAAGCUCCACGACCCUCAAACUAGAACAACGUCAGCUCCUCCUCGGUCUCCAGCUGCACGACCCUCAAACUGGAAAAACAGCAGCAAACUAAAAAAACUCCCUGGAUUUUUCUAGUUUGAGGGUCAUGCACCUGGACACCUGGGAAGGAGCUGAUUUUAAUCUAGUUUGAGCGUCAUGAGCUGGACACUCAGGGAGGAGCUGGUGUUUUUCCAGUUUCAGGGUCAUGGAGCUGGACACCCAGGGAGGCGCUGGUUUUCCUCUAGUUUGAGGGUCUUACAGCUGGAGACCCGAGGAGGAGCUGACGUUGUUCUAGUUUGAGGGUUUGUGUAGCUGGAGAUCUGGGGGGAGGAGUGUUUUUCUAGUUUGAGGUCGAUUGAGGGUCAGCUGCAUGACCCUCAAACUAGAGAAACACCAGCUGCCCCCUGGGUCUCCAGCUCCACAAACCUCAAACUAGAGCAACAUCAGCUUCUCCCCUGGCCUCCAGCUCCGUGACCCUCAAACUAGAACAGCGUCAGCUCCUCCUCAGGUUUCCAGCUCCAUGACCCUCAAACUAAAACAACAUCAGCUCCUCCUUGGAACUCCAGCUCCACGACCCUCAGACUUAAACAAGAGCAACAUCAGCUCCUCCUUGGAUCUCCAGCUCCACGACCCUCAGACUUAAACAAGAGCAGCACCAGCUCCUCCACGGGUCUGCAGCUCCAUGACCCUCUAACAAGGAAAACAUCAACUACUCCCUGUGUCUCCAGCUCCAUGACCCUCUGAUCAGUAAAACAUCAACUCCCACCUGAGUCUCCAGACGCAGAAGCCUCAAACUAGAACAACAUCAGCUCCUCCCCAGGUCUCCAGCUGCACGACCCUCAAACUAGAACAUCAGCUCCUCCCUGCAUCUUCAGCAGCACAACCCUCAAUCUAGAACAUCAGCUCCUCCCUGCAUCUUCAGCAGCACGACCCUCAAACUAGAACAUCAGCUCCUCCCUGCGCCUUCAGCAGCACGACCCUCAAACUAGAACAUCAGCUCCUCUCCAGGUCUCCAGCUGCACGACACUCAUACUAGAAAAAUGCCAGCUCCUCCCGGGUUCUAGAGCUACAGGACUGUAGAACUAAAAAACACCUGCUCCUCCCCAGGUCUCCAGCUGCAUGAACCACAAACUAGAACAACACCAGCUCCUCUUUGGGUCUCCAGCUGCAGGGCCCUCAAACAAAAACAUCAGCUUCUCCCCGAGUCUUCAGAUGCACGACCCUCAAACUAGAACAUCAGCUCCUCUCCGAGUCUCCAGUUGCAGGAAACUCAUACUAGAAAAAUGCCAGCCCUUUCCGAAUUCUACAGCUGGACGACCCUCAUAUUAAAAAACACUCUCUCUUCCCCAGGUCUCCAGCUGCAUGAACCUCAAAUUAGAGCAACAUCAGCUCCUCCUCGAGUCUUCAGCUGUGCGAUCUUCAAACUAAAACAUCAGCUCCUCUCUGGCUCGCCAGAUGCAGGACACUCAUACUAGAAAAAUGCCAGCUCCUCCAAGGUUCUACAGCUGCACGACCUUCAAACUAAAAAACACCCACUCCUCCCCAGGUCUCCAGCUGCACAAACCUCAAACUAGAACAUCAGCUCCUCUCUGGGUCUCCAGCACCAAGACUCUCAAACUAGAGCAACAUCAGCUCCUCUCUGGGUCUCCAGCUGCAGGACACUCAUACAAGAAUAAUGCCAGCUCCUCCCAGGUUCUACAGCUGCACAACCCUCAAACUAAAGAAACACCAGCUCCUCUCUGGGUCUGCAGCUGCACGAACCUCAAACUAGAACAGCAGCUCCUCUCCGGGUCUCCAGCUGCACGACACUCCUACUAGAAAAAUGCCAGCUCCUCCCAGGUUCUACAGCUGCACGACCCUCAAACUAAAAAACACCCGCUCCUUCCCAGGUCUCCAGCUGCAUGAACCUCAAACUAGAACACCAGCUCCUUUCUGGGUCUCCAGCUGUAGGACACUCAUACAAGAAAACACCAGUUCCUCCCCAGGUCUUCAGCUGCAAGACCCUCAAACUAGAAAAACACCAGCUCCUUCCAGGUUCUACAGCUGCACGACCCUCAAACUAAAGAAACACCUGCUCCUCCCAGAGUCUGCAGCUGCACGACCCUCAAAGUAACAAACACCAGCUUUUCUCUAGGUCUCCAGCUGCAAGACCCUGAAAUUAGAAAAACACCAGCUGCUCCCUGGGUCUCCAGCUCCACAACUCUGAAACUAGAAAAACACCAGCUCCUCCCCAAGUCUCCAGCUCCAUGACCCUCCAAUUAAAAAAACAUCAGUUUCUCCCAGGUCUCCAGCUGCAUGACCCUCAAAUUAGAACACCUCUCCCCACUGGAUCUCCAGCUCCACGACCCUCACAGAAGAACAGCAACACCAGCUCCUUAAUUGGUCUUCAGCUCUACAACCUAAGACAUCAGUGGCAGCACCGGCUCCUCCGUGAACCUCCAGCUCAAUGAUUUUCAGACUUAAAAUGCAGCACCAUCUCCUCCCCAAGGCUCCAUCUCCACUACCUUCAGAUUUGAACAGCGGUAGCACCAGCUCCUGUCCGGACCUUCAGCUCCA
rnacentral:lncRNA from 1 species